UUGUAACUUGAAAUAGAUUUCGAACAUAUUGGCCCAUUUAAAGCCCAAACUGGUUCAACUCGUCCGAGUUCGCAGUUCCCUCCAACCUCAUUUCCAUUUCGAAGGUGGAAAUGGAGUGCGAGGAGACCAAUGGUUCUGAUUGGGACCCGAAUUUCACUGAAGCAGUUAUCCAAGCAAUGGACGCAGUUGAAGCCACUCUUCAACCUCCCUCUUCUUCAUAUCCACCUUCUCUCGUCAAGAAAUGCAAGUCCACCAGCUAUCAAGAAAAGAACCCUGAAACCCGCCGCCAAUUACCUGAUUCCAUUGUCUCCCCACCACCUUCUUUUCCAUUUUCUUUAUCACGUCGUCAAGCUUAUUCAAAGAGUAGAUAUCCGGCAUUGAGAUUUGGAGGUCAAAUUUUGUAUAGCAGGACAAAAUCUGAGGUGGAAAAAGCUGCAAUGGAGCUCUUGAAAAUUCUUAAAAUUAAGAAAAAACAGACGGGUCAAGUUACUGUAGGGUUUGAUAUUGAGUGGAAACCCUCUUUCCAAAGAGGUAUUUUGCCUGGUAAGGCUGCAGUCAUGCAGUUAUGUUGUGACACUAGCUAUUGUUAUGUAAUGCAUAUUAUUCAUUCUGGAAUACCUCCAACUCUGCGUUUUCUUCUUGAGGAUUCCACAGUUAUAAAAGUUGGAGUUGCAAUUGGUGGUGAUGCUGUCAAGGUGUUCAAUGAUUAUAAUGUAUCUGUUAAAGCUGUGGAAGAUCUUUCAUAUGUAGCAAAUCAAAAGCUCAAUAGAGAUUGCCAAAAUUGGGGUCUUGCAUCUCUCACUGAGACACUUGUUUGCAAAGAGUUGAGUAUUGCAGCUUCCGAAGCCCAGGAUGAUUAGGCUGGGAAACUGGGAGUUAUAUCCUUUAUCCGAGGAGCAACUACAGUAUGCUGCAACAGAUGCUUUUGCUUCAUGGCACCUGUACCAGGUAUUAAAAAGCCUUCCAGAUGCUGUAAUGGAUCCAGUAAAUAAAAGAAGUGAAGGCGUUCCAACAUAGUAAUAUUCGUAGCUUAGUUAGACAGCAUUUUUGCGCAUGACGUCCUUAUUAAGUAGAGGAUUUGGGCAGGCUUUGCCACCAUUCUAUUCUUCGUCAAGGCACAGUUCUCUUAGAAUCUUAGAGGCCAAGAAACAAAGAGGUUCAGGAUUUGCCUAUUGGGGAAAUCCUUGAUUUAUUUAGGUGCAGCUGUUGUAUAUUGAUUUAAUUUAUACAGCUUGAACUCGUGCUAAUGUCCUGCAUGGAUGAUGAGCAUCGUUCAGAAUCUAACAUCUGCAUAUUCAGUACAAUCUAAUUUAUGUUUAUUUGAAGUUUUUCAUUGUUGUAAAAUUUGUUUGUCAAAUCCUUCCAGCUUGGUGCUUGUCAUGAACAAUAAUUCUGCUGAA